UCCAAAGCUUUAUAGUUUUGGAUUUUUUUUGCGAGUUUUUUAACCGCAAAGAACGCAAAGUAAAAAAAAACAGUCC
rnacentral:sRNA from 1 species